rnacentral:tRNA from 1 species
GCCCGGAUGGUCACUCGUGGUCAGACUGGUGCUCCAUACUUAAAAUCCCUGGGGGGAAACCCCGUGUGGGUUCGACUCCCACCCCGGGCA